CACGUAGGGCGCAAGCGUUGUCCGGAAUUAUUGGGCGUAAAGAGCUCGUAGGCGGUCUGUUGCGUCCGCUGUGAAAACUCGGGGCUUAACCCCGAGCCUGCAGUGGAUACGGGCAGACUAGAGGUAGGUAGGGGAGAAUGGAAUUCCCGGUGUAGCAGUGAAAUGCGUAGAUAUCUGGAGGAACACCGGUGGCGAAGGCGGCGUUCUGGACUGCAACUGACACUGAGAAACGAAAGCCAGGGUAGCAAACGGG
rnacentral:rRNA from 1 species